rnacentral:rRNA from 1 species
UACGUAGGUGGCAAGCGUUGUCCGGAUUUACUGGGCGUAAAGAGCGCGCAGGCGGUCGUUCAAGUCGCGUGUGAAAGCCCCCGGCUCAACUGGGGAGGGUCACGCGAUACUGAUCGACUCGAAGGCAGGAGAGGGUAGUGGAAUUCCCGGUGUAGUGGUGAAAUGCGUAGAUAUCAGGAGGAACACCGGUGGCGAAGGCGGCUACCUGGACAGAAACUGACGCUGAGGCGCGAAAGCUAGGGGAGCAAACAGG